UUCUUUAUGUUAUCAGUUACCAUGAAGGCUUUGGUAAAUGGGUAGAGGUUGGAAAUUCUGGCAUGUUUAGACCUGAAAUGUUGCUUCCUAUGGGAUUACCAGAAGAUGUUCGUGUUAUUGCAUGGGGCCUUUCCCUUGAGAGGCCGACUAUGAUCUUGUACGGCUAUAAUAACAUCCGGGAUCUGUUUGGGCACAAGGUGGAUCUUGGUCUCAUCAAGACAAACCCUAUAUGUCGUUUAGGACCUUGAUUAAAUUGACGGGAUAUAUUGAUCAUUGUUGCAAAAGUUUUCCUUCUCUUUAUGUUCCCUUGCUUUCUCUAAAUUCAUUGGGUUCAGUAUUUUUAGCUAAUUAAUGGUAAAGCGCUUAUUUUCAGCACAAAUUCUGUCUGGCAUUUGUUUGGCAUCGGGGCAAGAUUAGAUUCAUUUCAAGUUCCCUUUUAAUUAUUUGUCAGAUCUUGUUUUUAUUUAGUAUAUUUAGUAAAGUUGAAGGCUGCACUUUAAAGUGA